AUUUAGUCCAGUAUGUAUGGGUUUGGAAUUCAUAUUGUUUGUAUUUUGUCCUUGUUGCAUAUUAACCUUGUUUACAUGCAGUCCAAACCAUUGAAGGGGAAACAAAUAAACAAAUUUCUGUUAGGAGAAAGCAUAGAGACGGCGCUGUGCCACUUUUUUUAUGCUAGCCUUUAUGCGCAAGGUCAAAUGAGCCCUUUAUGCUAACCAGGCCACUUUUCACAUUCACAACGCGUUUAUGAGUUUUCUAGAGAAUCGGUCCACCCAGAGCUCAAAUGCAUUUCCAAUUCCCCGCUUCGUCAGGAAUAAGUGGUAGCAUUUACUCAUCUAGCCUUGUUAGCAUUGGAAUUGGUGCUAUGCCCUAAACACCGGAAAUUGGCUCUGAUGAUAUAGAACCUGUUGGAUCCCAGAUUCCUUCUAGUUCCUUCAUCUCACAUUUCAAUUGGCGAAGGUCCACAAACUCCUGAAAACGACAUCAUUCCUUCAUUCUCUUUUGCUUUGGCUAGCUACUAAUGGAACCUUCCAGUUGUGCAAAAGAAACUGGAAAUGCUGCAUAUCCUACUAAUGCAACUCUGUCUUCCUAGCAUCUUGGGACUAAUGUCUCUGAGCCAUUUAUGUACCAUACUAUCUCAGAGAAGAUAAUGGAGCACAAGUAUGAAUAGCAGCAGCCGAAAAGGAGUUGAGGAGGAGCUAACUUCUAAAGGGGUUAUUAGUGUAGACUUCGUUUUUCUCAAGGGUUGAUCUGCAAACUUAGUUGUUGCUUACUAACUUCUGAAGUCCUAGGUUUCCCGUGCUUCAAAUAAGUGAUAACAGUGUUCUUUGUUGCCCGAUUUCUUGAGCUAAGGAGAGAGAACUAUUCCGGUUUUGAAAAA